GAGAUUCCCUAAGCGCCAUGCACCUGCCCUGGCAGGUUAACGAGGAGAAAGGUGAUCGAAAAUUCGGCGGAUGCCUUUCCGCACCGUUCCAGUGCGAGACACAUCGGCAAAUAUGCGGGUGACUGCAAAACAAAUACGAUGUUUGAUGGAAC
rnacentral:ncRNA from 2 species